rnacentral:rRNA from 1 species
UACAGAGGCCUCGAGCGUUAGGCGGAAUCACUGGGCUUAAAGCGUGUGUAGGCGGACUUCUAAGUACCUUGUGAAAUCCCACGGCUUACCCGUGGAACGGCUGGGUAUACUGGUUGUCUUGAGCCACUUAGGGGCUACCGGAACAAAUGGUGGAGCGGUGAAAUGCGUAGAUAUCAGGAGGAAUACCGAUGGCGAAGGCAGGUCUCUGGGCUGACACUGACGCUCAUGCACGAAAGCGUGGGGAGCAAACAGG